UACGGGGGGGGCAAGCGUUGUUCGGAAUUACUGGGCGUAAAGGGCUCGUAGGCGGCCAACUAAGUCAGACGUGAAAUCCCUCGGCUUAACCGGGGAACUGCGUCUGAUACUGGAUGGCUUGAGUUCGGGAGAGGGAUGCGGAAUUCCAGGUGUAGCGGUGAAAUGCGUAGAUACCUGGAGGAACACCGGUGGCGAAGGCGGCAUCCUGGACCGAGACUGACGCUGAGGAGCGAAAGCCAGGGGAGCAAACGGG
rnacentral:rRNA from 1 species